rnacentral:rRNA from 1 species
GGGUGAGUCGACCCCUAAGGCGAGGCCGAAAGGCGUAGUCGAUGGGAAACAGGUUAAUAUUCCUGUACUUGGUGUUACUGCGAAGGGGGGACGGAGAAGGCUAUGUUGGCCGGGCGACGGUUGUCCCGGUUUAAGCGUGUAGGCUGGUUUUCCAGGCAAAUCCGGAAAAUCAAGGCUGAGGCGUGAUGACGAGGCACUACGGUGCUGAAGCAACAAAUGCCCUGCUUCCAGGAAAAGCCUCUAAGCAUCAGGUAACAUCAAAUCGUACCCCAAACCGACACAGGUGGUCAGGUAGAGAAUACCAAGGCGCUUGAGAGAACUCGGGUGAAGGAACUAGGCAAAAUGGUGCCGUAACUUCGGGAGAAGGCACGCUGAUAUGUAGGUGAAGCGACUUGCUCGUGGAGCUGAAAUCAGUCGAAGAUACCAGCUGGCUGCAACUGUUUAUUAAAAACACAGCACUGUGCAAACACGAAAGUGGACGUAUACGGUGUGACGCCUCCCCGGUGCCGGAAGGUUAAUUGAUGGGGUCAGCGCAAGCGAAGCUCUUGAUCGAAGCCCCGGUAAACGGCGGCCGUAACAAUAACGGUCCUAAGGUAGCGAAAUUCCUUGUCGGGUAAGUUCCGACCAGCACGAAUGGCGUAAUGAUGGCCAGGCUGUCUCCACCCGAGACUCAGUGAAAUUGAACUCGCUGUGAAGAUGCAGUGUACCCGCGGCAAGACGGAAAGGCCCCGUGAACCUUUACUAUAGCUUGACACUGAACAUUGAGCCUUGAUGUGUAGGAUAGGUGGGAGGCUUUGAAGUGUGGACGCCAGUCUGCAUGGAGCCGACCUUGAAAUACCACCCUUUAAUGUUUGAUGUUCUAACGUGGACCCGUGAUCCGGGUUGCGGACAGUGUCUGGUGGGUAGUUUGACUGGGGCGGUCUCCUCCUAAAGAGUAACGGAGGAGCACGAAGGUUGGCUAAUCCUGGUCGGACAUCAGGAGGUUAGUGCAAUGGCAUAAGCCAGCUUGACCGCGAGCGUGACGGCGCGAGCAGGUGCGAAAGCAGGUCAUAGUGAUCCGGUGGUUCUGAAUGGAAGGGCCAUCGCUCAACGGAUAAAAGGUACUCCGGGGAUAACAGGCUGAUACCGCCCAAGAGUUCAUAUCGACGGCGGUGUUUGGCUCCUCGAUGUCGGCUCAUCACAUCCUGGAGCUGAAGUAGGUCCCAAGGGUAUGGCUGUUCGCCAUUUAAAGUGGUACGCGAGCUGGGUUUAGAACGUCGUGAGACAGUUCGGUCCCUAUCUGCCGUGGGCGCUGGAGAACUGAGGGGGGCUGCUCCUAGUACGAGAGGACCGGAGUGGACGCAUCACUGGUGUUCGGGUUGUCAUGCCAAUGGCACUGCCCGGUAGCUAAAUGCGGAAGAGAUAAGUGCUGAAAGCAUCUAAGCACGAAACUUGCCCCGAGAUGAGUUCUCCCUGACUCCUUGAGAGUCCUGAAGGAACGUUGAAGACGACGACGUUGAUAGGCCGGGUGUGUAAGCGCAGCGAUGCGUUGAGCUAACCGGUACUAAUGAACCGUGAGGCUUAACCUC